AAAACGGCCCUUUUGAGGGCCACCUUACAGAGGAUUGUAGGUCUUUU
rfam:Hydatigera taeniaeformis genome assembly, scaffold: TTAC_scaffold0006382